GACAGAGGGUGCAAACGUUGCUCGGAAUUACUGGGCGUAAAGCGUGCGCAGACGGUUGCGUAAGUCAGAUGUGAAAGCCCCGGGCUCAACCUGGGAAUUGCAUUUGAGACUGCGUAGCUAGGGUGCGGAAGAGGGAAGCGGAAUUUCCGGUGUAGCGGUGAAAUGCGUAGAUAUCGGAAGGAACACCAGUGGCGAAAGCGGCUUCCUGGUCCAGCACCGACGUUCAGGCACGAAAGCGUGGGGAGCAAACAGG
rnacentral:rRNA from 1 species